CACUAUAGACUACCAGGUCAUAUUAAUCUACCAUAUAUUUGCAUGCAUGAAUAUAUAUUUAUCGACUGGGAGUUCCGUGCUGAAAAAUUUAUUUUCCCGAGGUCUCAAGCCCCGUUUACACUACGCUCAAUUUUUGGUACGGACAAAAUUGGUACCCGUACCAAAUUUAUCCGUGUUCGGCCUUUGUAAAUAGGUAGUCGGAAAUUGAACGUGGUGUAAACCGGCCUCGGAAGCGGCAGAGGGACGCUUCUGAGGCCGAUUUCG